CAGGCUCCAGGCUCUGAGCUGUCAGCACAGAGCCUGACAUGGGGCUCAAACCUACAAACUGUGAGAUCAUGACCUAAGCUGAAGUUGGUUGCUCAACUGACUGAGCCACCCAGACACCCCAGUCUGUGUGUUGUUUCUUUAGAUCUGAAGGGAAUCUCUUGUAGGCAGCCAUUUUUUUUUUAAACCCAGUCACCCUAUGUUUUUUGAUUGGAGUAUUUAAUUAACAUUUAAAAUAAUUAUUGACAGGUAUGUGCUUAUUACCAUUUUUCUGUUUUCUGGUUGUUUUUGUAGUUUCUUCCUCUUGCUCUCUUCCCUUGUGGUUUGAUGGCUUUCUUUAGUCUUCUGCUUGGAUUCCUCUUUACUUUUUGUGUAUCUAUUAUAGGUUUUAAGUUUGUGAUUACCAUGAGGUUCAUAUACAGCAGUCUAUUUUCAGUUGAUGUUUAAGUUUGCACACUGAAAGCACUACAUUUUUAUUCUUUCCCCAAGUUUUAUGUAUAUGGUGUCGUAUUUUACAUUUUUAUUUUGUGUAAUUACUAGAAAUAUAACUGAUUUUACUAUUUCUUUUAAAUGUCCUAUUAGUCUUACAAGUGAUUGCUCUAUUAUAUUGUAUGUUUGCUUUUACUAGAGACUUAUUUUCUGUUUUCUCUUUAUGAUUUUCUUCUAGUUGGCAUUUUCUUAUCUACUUAAAGAAUUGCCUUUAACAUUUCUUGCAAAGACCAUUUAGGGAUGAUGAACUCUCAAUUUUAAGUUUUGUCUGAGAAAACCUCUCUCCUUGAAUUCUGAGUAACUCUGCCAGACACAGUAUUCUUGGUUGUAGGCUUUUUCCUUUCAGCACUUUGAAUAUAUCAUGACACCACUUUAUUCAGGCCUUCAAUGUCUUUGCUAUAAAAAAAAAAAAAAAAAAUCACCUGAUAGCAUUAGGGGGGUUCCCUUGUAUGGAAUCAGUUGCUUUUCUCUUACUGCUUUUAAGAUUCUCUUGUUAAUUUUUGACCUUUUUAUUACUAAGUGCUUUAGUGUGGACAUCAUUGGGUUCAUCUUGUUUGGGGCUCUGUGUGCUUCCUGGACAUCUAUUUCCUUCCCCUGAUUAGGAAAAUUUUCAGCUAUUUCUUCAGAUUUUCUGCCUCUCUCUUCUCCUUCUGGGACUCUGAUACUAUGAAUAUUAGUAUACUUGAUGUUGUCCUAGUUGAUGUUUUAAAAAUCCUCACGUUUAAAAAUUCCUUUUCUGUUCAGCUUGGAUGGUUUCCACUACCUUGUCUUCCAGGUCACUGAUCUAUUCUGCUGUAUCCUCUAAUCUAGUAGCAGAUUCUUUUUCACUUCAUUUAUUAUAUUCUUCAUCUCUAAUUGGUUCUUUUUUAUAUUUUCUCUUUUUCUGAGUUUAUACAACCCCUUUCUAGUUCAGUGAGCAUCUUUAUAACCAUUACUUUGAACUCUCAGGUAGACUGCUUGUUGUGGUUUUAUUUAGUUCUUUUUAUGAGGUUUUCUUUUGUUCUUUCAUUUAGAAUAAACUCUUGCCUUCUCAUUCUGUUGACUCUGCUUUUCUCUUUGCAUUACAUCAGUUACGACUCCCGGCCUUGCAAGCAGUGGCCUUGUGUAGAAGUGUCCUGUGGGGCCAAGCAGCAUAAUCCUACCCACCCCACCAGGUCACCAGAACCAAGUACCCCAGGGACGUGCCAGGUGGGCUGUGUGUGCCCUCCUGUUGUGACUGUGCUGCAACUGCUGCGGGCACGCUGGGUGGGGCUGGGAUGCAGUCCCAGCCAGAGCUGUCCAAGGUGUGGUGGGGCGGUGGUUGCUUUGCGGGUUCACCAGUCCCAAACAAGGCUGACCACAGGGUAUGGCAGAGCAGGUGCCGAUUAAGAAGGGCACCUGCCUGAACUAGCAGGUUGGGUGGGGUGGCUCAGACAAGGAAUGCCAAGGCGGGGUGAGCUGUGCUAGCAAGCUAGUUGGAGAGGGUCAGACUUGGCUUUCAUCAGCAUCAGGCCAGCUAGGCUGGAGAAGGGCAAGAAAAAUGGCACCUGCUACACUCCCAGUCCUGGAGAAAGUUUCUACAGAUCCUUGCCCCUCCAGCACAAACCCUAAAAUUAGCCAAUAAAUCUAUUCCUGUAUAUUCCAGAUGCUUUUCAAACUGCUGCCUCUCUGCUGGAUCUUAGAGUUAGUAAUAGAGUGUGCUGGUCCUGUAAGAGUACUCUGUUUCUUAAUGGCACCCUGGCUCUGCUGGAAUAAAGCCCUGAUGGUUAUCAAAGCCACAUGUUAUGGGGGCUUGUCUGCCUGGUACAGAUCUCUGGAGCAGUUGAGGUGGGGGGUGGGGGCACUCAACAUGGGGUUCGAUCCCCUUGCUCUUCAGGGAAGACCUCUACCCCUGUGAUAGCCCUCUCGGUUGUAAGUCGCCGUACCAUGUAACUGGUUCCCUACCACGUCUCUGCUCCUUCUUGCUUUCUCAGUGUGGCUUCUUCUUUCCCCAUGGAAGAGUCGUUCUGCUAAUUAGGUCAUUUUCCAAAUGACUUGCAUUUCACGUAGUUGCUGCCUGGGGUGUGUCUGUGGGAGGAGGUGGGAUCCUCCUCCUCUACGAUGUUCCCUGGUCAUCUCGACAUUAAGAAAAUUUUGCCUGCUGUGUUUCUUACAGGAUGUCAAGAAUACCAUCCAGAGUCUUGACCAGAUUCAGAGAGCCCGAUGUGGGACUCAGUUUCACGAAGCGCAAGAUCGUGACCUGAGACAAAAAUCAAGAGUUGGACACUCAACUGACUGAGCCACCCAGGUGCCCCUCUGAGUGGGGACUCAAUGGAAGCUCCUUGUGGGACACCCAGGACUAGGAAUAUUGAUCUGCAAUUUCAUCUAAGAGUGAGAAGGUAAGGAGCUAAUGGUUAGGCUACUGCUUCUCUAAAUGCUUUCCUCUGGCAUCAACAUAAGAAUUCCAAGUCCUGGCUCUCACAAUUUGGUUUGUUCAUUUUUCUUGAGAAGAGAUUUUUCCCUUUGGUAGAAAUGCUUGCUGCUCUUGUACUCUGCGUAUAGCAGUAAAUAUAGGGGUGAGAGCUUUCUCUAUAAAGGCCAUCAAUCACCCCAAUUUGAUCCUAUUGGUCACUAAUUCUAAACCCAAAGCCCUCUCUCUGAUUUCUGCCUGCUAAAUUUGUUCCCAUCUCCUCUGGGGCCCUUUAUAAAGUCUAAGCUGGCUGUUCCAGAAACUCUGGCCUUGUUUCUUUGCCCUUAUAGAUGCCCAUACUCCAUUUUGAGUAUGUAGGGCUUUACUUUAGAAUGAUUUUAAGAGGAGUGAAAGGGAAAUGUGUGUAGUUUGCCAUAAAUAUCAGCCUUUUAAUGACAUCCUCUAGAAAAAACCAAAAUUCUUAUUUUCAGCGAACUUAACAGUUGAUCAAUAUGAGUAUUUCCUAAAUAUGUUUGAUAUGGGUACUAAAUUUAAAACUUCCAGUUAUGAAAUUACUUACAUAGUUUUAAUUUCAUGAGAUCAUAUGUUAGUCUUUUCCUACAUUAAUUCCAUGCUUGUAAAAAGUGAUCUACAUACAGAAAUAUAUACUACCAGAAUAAAUAUUUUUCAAUCAAAACCAAUUAUUGGAUGCAAAUUAAAAAAAAAAUCAAAGUCGAUUAUAUCUUUAAUAAGGUUUCCCAUUUAAGGGAGAGCAGCUGCAUAUUCUGGAGUCAAAUCUGAAACUUCCCCAUUUUCUUGGGGGAAAAUGUUAUAAUUUAAUCCUUAGAAAUCAAAGACUUUAUGUCACAGGUAGUAUAGUCAGAUUAAAUUACCAUACCUCAGAGCCUCAGAUUAAGACUACAAUAAACUGAAUUUCAGAACAAGAACAGAAAUACUGACUUUGAUUAAAUGACUAACAUUAGUUCUGAGUUAAUGGAGGAGGAAAAAAUCUUGUCAUUAACUUAAUGCCAAAUCUUUAUAAAUUCAAGGCCAUUUUGAAAUCUCUCAGACAGUUCAAGUUAGUGAAAUAAAGGUCUUCUACCUUCUCUUAAAAAUCAUUUCAAAAUAAGGAAAAACAACCCACAAUUUUUUUGAUGAAACCAGGGGAUAUUUCUAACCCCUAGUCACAAACUAUAAAGCAGAAAGUAUAUGUUAAAAUUAUAAAUGACCUGUUUAUGUGCAAAGUGACUUCAGUGCCAUGUGCCUGCAGAGAGAGAUACUGAAGACAAGCAAACCAAUUCACCCAAGGAAGUUCUAAGAACUGAAGAUCCCAGGUACUGAGGCUGGGAUAAGGCAGGGGACUGAGUGGGGGUUGUUUUAAAAUGCGGGGUACAGAAAAGAGGGGACUCUCAGAUUAUUUUCUGCCCCCCACCCUUGGCCUGAGAGAAGGGAGGAGAGGGUAUGUGUAGUCUCUGGAGAAGCUAAAUCAGAGCCGGAACAGGAGAACAAGAAGCACAGAGGACUGCAGGGGUGAAGAUGGAGACUGAAUGCUGACUGGCUGGUGAGUUCCUCUCUCCAACCCCAUUCUGUUCCAGAACACAGGUACAUUCACGAAUCCCCACCCUGUUUUUCCAGCAGAGAUCAGAGGAUCCCUCUAUGAAGAAAAAGAACCCACCGAGAAGAUCCCCUGGCGAGGUCAGCUGGCCUGCAUGUUGAUAGGCUGUCUCCCCACAGAGAUUCCAAUGAGCUUGUUUCUUAACUUUUUAAAUAUACAGAGUAAGAAUUUCCUGACAUUUGAAGGAAGUCAUGACAGAGACUAAAAGAGGAAAAAGGCGCUCAGAGGAAAUAAAAGCAUUCUCUGGCAAACAGAAAAUAACUCAUCAUUCAUGUCUUUAGAGAGACGAGAAGAUGCAUCUGCAAAUGUACAUAGUUCCAGAGGAUGGCAGGGGGAAAAAGCUUUCAGAGAUUAAAACCAGAAGCUGAAGUUUCAUCAAAGAGGUUGAAAAAUAUUUCUGAAAGUAGGUGGAAAAACUAGAGAUAGAAAUUAGAGGGGAAAAUAUUGAGAUCAGAUUAUGAGCCUGGGAGCUCCAAAGAAAGACAGAGAGAGAGA